rnacentral:rRNA from 1 species
UUGGAGGGCAAGUCUGGUGCCAGCAGCCGCGGUAAUUCCAGCUCCAAUAGCGUAUAUUAAAGUUGUUGCAGUUAAAAAGCUCGUAGUUGAAUCUCGGAGUUUGUCGGUCGGUCGGGCUUCGCUGUCCGCACUGGCCUGAUGGAUUCCUACCUUCUGAAUAACCAGCAUGCUAUUAAGUUAGUGCGUUGGGGAAGCAGAGCUAUUACCUUGAAAAAAUUAGAGUGCUUAAAGCAGGCUUAUGCUUGAAUAGAUUAGCAUGGAAUAAUAAAAUAGGACGGCAUGGUUCUAUUUUGUUGGUUUCUAGGAUCACCGUAAUGAUUAAUAGGGAUAGUUGGGGGCAUUAGUAUUCAAUUGUCAGAGGUGAAAUUCUUGGAUUUAUUGAAGACUAACUACUGCGAAAGCAUUUGCCAAGGAUGUUUUCAUUAAUCAAGAACGAAAGUUAGGGGAUCGAAGACGAUCAGAUACCGUCGUAGUCUUAACCAUAAACUAUGCCGACUAGGGAUCGGACGAUGUUAAUUUUUUAAUGACUCGUUCGGCGCCUUACGGGAAAC